UUAAAAUUUCAGUGUAUUUGUAUAUAAACACACACCAUACAUGUCUGCAAGACAGUAUUUUUUGUACUGAGGUUAGUUUAUUGUUUUCUCACAGCCAAAGCAGAACCAAGAGGGAAAAGGAAUGUUUUCAAUAGUUCAAAAGAUUGACUCUUAUCUCACAGUAUGAACAUGACCAGUGGCUACAGUUCCCUCUGUUGGCUUCACUGUGAGAGACCACAUGAGGUGUUUUGCACAGGCUGUCCACAGCACUGACUGCGUUUUGGCACCAAGUACCUGUGGAGAAAGAAGACAACAUUUGCAGAGAACUUUUAAAACUUUAAAACAUUUGGGAGAGCCGCUGCCAGAGGGCGCUGCUGGCCAGCCCAGACAUGGCCAC